GACGAACGCUGGCGGCGCGCCUAACACAUGCAAGUCGAACGAGAGAUGAGGAGCUUGCUCUUCAAAUCGAGUGGCGAACGGGUGAGUAACGCGUGAGGAACCUGCCUCAAAGAGGGGGACAACAGUUGGAAACGACUGCUAAUACCGCAUAAGCCCACGGCUCGGCAUCGAGCAGAGGGAAAAGGAGCAAUCCGCUUUGAGAUGGCCUCGCGUCCGAUUAGCUAGUUGGUGAGGUAACGGCCCACCAAGGCGACGAUCGGUAGCCGGACUGAGAGGUUGAACGGCCACAUUGGGACUGAGACACGGCCCAGACUCCUACGGGAGGCAGCAGUGGGGAAUAUUGCACAAUGGGGGAAACCCUGAUGCAGCGACGCCGCGUGGAGGAAGAAGGGUCUUCGGAUUGUAAAACUCCUGUUGUUGAGGAAGAUAAAUGACGGUACUCAACAAGGAAGUGACGGCUAACUACGUG
rnacentral:rRNA from 1 species